GACGUCCCCAUGGGUCCUGCCUAGGCUUGGGCUUUGCCCCGUCCUCCUCGGCAAUGUGUGGAGCAGGCAAAACCCAGGCGCGACUGCAUCUUCUCAAAUAAUCCUUUCUGAGACGUGAACUCCUGGUAUGAAAUCGCAUGUUCCUCCCUGCUGGUCCCAAAGCAGACAGUUYAGGCGGUGCUGUAACCAGGAAAAUCAGAGUACCAUGGAGCAGCACACACAAUCCCAGCCUUCGAGACAGCCCAAGCUCCUAGAAGAAGAAGAUGCCUCUGAGGCUGGGACCGAAGCAAAACAAGAGUGAUGCCAAAAAGGAGCAAAUACRCUCAAGAAAUCUGCCUGCAGCUCUGUGAUGUCAAGGGCCAGGCGWGAGGUUCCCCAUGCAUUUUGUUAGAUAAUGCACUUCUCGGUAGCUUUGCUAGGACAGCAUGAACCUGAAAACYAGCCUUAGGACAGAGAAAAAUACCUUAUCUCGCUUUCAAGCAGACAGUCAUUUUUUAUUGUCCAAUGUUGAUUUGUAAUCUCAAUAAUAGUCCCUUUACCUACAGGAGUCCACCAAACAAAAAUCUAAAUCCUGAAUAUAGAUAAUUUCCAAACUCUGAACUUAAAUUCUCUCCAAGAUGAAUAUGAAGAUGAUAAAAACAGUAAAUACACAAGAGGUCUGCAGCAGAUUAGCUUUCCAUGCGGUGUGCUGGGGAGCUCCAGAUUCCUCCUGCUGAGGAUAUUAUGUCCUCCCAAACAGUGACAGGAGAAUUCACCCCUUUCAUCUCUAUGGGAAAGGAAGAUCCCAAACAAGAGUCUGGGUUAACUUUAGGAGUCAAAAAAGAAACUAACCGUGCUGUAUGGAAAAGUGACAUUUAUAUACUCUACAUAGAGAUUUUUUUUUCCACUAUGGAACUGUUUAAGUUUACUUUUUUU